GGGGCCUGCAGCGGCCGGGGGCGAUGCGGGGCCUCCCUGGGGCCGUCCUGCGCCGCCGGAGCCGCUAGAUUGGGCAAUGUUUGUCCAGACUGAAAGAAAAGCAAUAAAUCAAAAAGUCAACAGACAAAAAAUAUCUGAUGGAUAUAAUGAAAGAGAUGAAGGGUGAGAGAUGACACACGGAUGAGUUUUGCACAAAAAUGUUUAAUGGUGCCUUGUUUACCCGGACUAUGGAAGAACGAGGGCCUCCCUUUCCCAAGACUCUUUCUGCAUCAUGGGGAGUAUUGAAGGGGACUUGUCAUUGCCUCUAGCUGCCAUUUAAAACUGUCUCUACUCCCUGCAGAAAAGACUGUAGAUGUUUUC